GGGAAUUACGAGCGCAAGCUUAAAAUUCAAAGGAUUUGACGGUAUCCCACCCACCUAGAGGAGCCUGUUCUAUAAUCGAUAAUCCUCGAUACACCCAACCAUUUCUUGCUUUUUCAGCCUGUAUACCUCCGUCGCAAGCUUACCAUUUGAAUGUAAAAAGUAGGUCUAAGGAUCCCCCAUCAACDCKUCRGGUCAAGGUGCANCCAAUGUAAUGGAAAGUAAUGGGCUACAAUUUCUACAAUARAACAAACAAAACNCUGCAUGAAAAACAGUCNUGAAGGCGGAUUUAGUAKUAAAAGGARAAUARAGAGCUCCUUUUAACAAGGCUCUGGGAUGUGUA
rnacentral:rRNA from 1 species